GACGAACGCUGGCGGCGUGCUUAACACAUGCAAGUCGAACGGAAAGGCCCUGCUUUUGUGGGGUGCUCGAGUGGCGAACGGGUGAGUAACACGUGAGUAACCUGCCCUUCACUUUGGGAUAACUUCAGGAAACUGGGGCUAAUACCGGAUAGCAGCUCCUGCUGCAUGGUGGGGGUUGGAAAGUUUCGGCGGUUGGGGAUGGACUCGCGGCUUAUCAGUUUGUUGGUGGGGUAGUGGCUUACCAAGGCUUUGGCGGGUAGCCGGCCUGAGAGGGUGACCGGCCACAUUGGGACUGAGAUACGGCCCAGACUCCUACGGGAGGCAGCAGUGGGGAAUAUUGCACAAUGGGCGGAAGCCUGAUGCAGCAACGCCGCGUGCGGGAUGACGGCCUUCGGGUUGUAAACCGCUUUCGCCUGUGACGAAGCGUGAGUGACGGUAAUGGGUAAAGAAGCACCGGCUAACUACGUG
rnacentral:rRNA from 1 species